AGGCUCCUGUGAGAGUCGAACUUCUACUACGAGCGGUCUACUCCGAACCUCUACUAUGAGCAGUCUACUCCGAACACCUACAGCGAGCGAUCUACUCCGAACACCUACAGUGGGCGGUCUGCUCCGAAUCUCUACUGUAAGCAAAUUUCAUUCGAGCCCCUACUGUAAACACAUUUCUUCCAAACUUCCAUUAUGAUAGACUUCAGCCGAGCUUCUUCGUAGCUGGAUCUCAGACGAACUUCUACAAUGGGACAGGACCCACCGGCCAGAUCGCUACUCCGAGCUCCCACGACAGCCGAUCUUCGAUCGAGCUUCUACAAUAAGCGGCCUCCUUUCAGCCUUCUACAAGGACCAGACUCCGUCCAAACUUCCAUAGUGG
rnacentral:lncRNA from 1 species